CGUAGCGAUUCGGGUAUAUCCGGACCCCUUUCGAUCCCAUGUAAAUUAUUUGACCUGUUUGGCCAAAACCUACGACGUUCUGUUUUUUUCUCGGAGCGGAGCAGCGAGUAGCGAGUGACUCUUGUCGGUCGGCCGGCCGAAGCUAUGUCUGGCAGAAAAGAAACAGUUUUAGAUUUGUCUAAGUUCGUCGACAAAGGUGUUCAAGUCAAGCUUACUGGUGGAAGGCAAGUCACUGGAACACUGAAAGGGUAUGAUCAAUUGCUGAAUCUUGUUUUGGAUGAAGCCGUAGAAUUUCUUAGAGAUCCAGAGGACCCACUGAAGACUACCGAUCAAACCCGCCGCCUUGGGUUAAUUGUCUGCCGAGGAACUGCUGUGAUGCUGGUGUCUCCAACUGAUGGUACAGAUGAAAUUGCCAAUCCAUUUUUGCCUGAUGGAUCAUAGACAGGAUAGGAUAGGAUUGGAUUGGAUUGGAUACCUUGUGCAUCAUCAUCAUCCUCAUCACUCCUGGUUCUUAGUAAUUUCUAUCGGCUUUUGUCUGGAGUUUGCAAGACUUAUUCCCAAUAAUUAUAUAUAUAUUUGAAUGAAUUGUAAUAUACGUUUUUUUGCAAAUUAUUAGUAUAAUAUAUUGUAUUUUUAUAUGGCAAUAAAAAUGAUUAUUUUUGUCAUUAAAAAACAGAAUUUUUUAUUUUUUUAUAUAUAAUAUAAAUAAUUGUAUCUGUUUUAUUUUUUAUUUAUAGUACGAAAUUUACAAAAAAAAAUAAAUAAUAAUAAUAAUAAUAAAUUAUUAUGUAGCCUUUUAAACAGGCUCGUAGGCCAGGCCAGGCUUUUAAAAAGGCCAGGCUCAGGCUUUAAAAAUAUUUUUUUUCAGGCUGGUAGGCCAGGCUCAGGCCAUAUCUUUUUAAGACAGGCCAAGCCUAUUUAACCAAAGUCUGGCCUGGCCUGGCCUAUUUCCACCCCUACUUAAAACUCUCCAUCAACAUUUACCACCUCUGAUACAGAUGCAUUAUAGAGCGAAUUUGAUUGAUUGCCAAAGUGAUUUAGUUUUAUAAUUA